GCGGGGGAGGAAGAGAGGAAGAUAAGAAUGAGAGGAAGCAGAAGGAGCGGGAGAACACAAGAGGGCGUAGUCACACACGGGCGCAACACCUGAGGGGACGAGUACAGCAGGAGUUUCCACAACAGGAAAUGACACGUGAGUUUCACUGCACUGUAGUGACUUCUCUUCAGUUGGACGUCAACAGGAAAAUACUUAUAUUAACACGUAGCAAAGGAGCAGUCAGUAAAAACACCGGUUUGGUCUGGUCUUUUAGGACCAAGACAAACCGGGUCAUUACCUUUAAUGUGAUCUGGUUAAGUGAAUAACCUGAGGAACAGCCCUGAGGACAUCUCCUCUGAAGACAGCCUCCACCUCCUAUUGUCUGAGCCACAGAAAAUAACUCUCGUUUUGCUGCGGUGACUUCUCUUUUAUUAAACAGGAAUUGCUGUGGUGCAGUGGUUCUCAAAGUGGGGGGCAUGGAGCGGAGGGAGAGCAGCAGCAAUACCCCUAGCUACCAAAGCAAAAGAAACAGCAGAACCAGCCGAGCUUGUUGUUAUUCAACACAGGUGUUUGGAGCUGUUUACCAUGAGGAGGUCAAAUCUGGAUAGAUACUGAACAAUGAUGAACAGGACACCUCAACACAGUCAUCUCCAUAGACGCCUGCAGCACCGGGUCUCUAUUGGCCUAUCAGCUUGUUAUGUGUGAGUAAUGGCCGGGUCUGCCUGGCCCAAGGGAACUGAGGCAGGUUGUGCUUAGUUUGAGCUGUGAAAUAUGACACUCUCUCUUGCAGAGUAAUAACGCUGCUCUGUUUCUAACCACCAGGGAAACCUGUUUGUUUCUUCAUGGCAAAGAGGACGGUGUGGCAUCAGUCUUACACUAACUAAUUAUUUUCUGUCAUGCCCCCCCUUGAGGACAGAAAUGUUUUUACACCCCCCUGACCAAAACCCCCGCAAUUUGAAAUACUUUUGAGAACCUGAUAACAUGUAUAUUUUUAACUGUGCAAACCACUGUAUGAGUUGCUGCCACCUAGUGACUGGAGGCUUGUUGUCAUUCAAGCAUUACAGCAGUGGCAUAUUCCAUUCUCACCACCGCCCCUGGCACCUCGCCGUGCCCGCCCAUGGGAUCCCGCCCACUAUUUGAGAAGUACUGCAUUAAUUGUAUGUAUGUUUUUGAGACGUUAUCUCUUGAUCAAAGAACGCAAGUCAUUUACAGACAGUGGGUCGGAGGUUCUUAAAGGUACGUCAUUGUGACCCACGUUGAGAACUGACCAUAUCAACCACAGAGUGACAUUCAAUGUUUCAAAUAUUUUAUACGCUGGUGUUGUGUUGGCAUAAGUCCUGCAUGACAUGACAGCAGAAGCAGGAAGUUUUGGUCAUGACGACUAUUGUUACAGUCUGUGUUAUCA